rnacentral:SRP_RNA from 15 species
AGUGCGAGAUUUGGUUGAGCAGUGCCUCGGGCGACGGCGGCAACGGCGGCAGCGGCGUCCCCUCGGCCGCCUCGUCGGAGGCCCGGGCCGCGAGCUCGGCGAAGGCCGCGAGCACCGCG